rnacentral:rRNA from 1 species
AGAGUUUGAUCAUGGNUCAGAACGAACGCUGGCGGCGUGGAUAAGACAUGCAAGUCGAACGGGACAUUAUUUGUAGCAAUACAGAUGAUGUUCAGUGGCGAAAGGGUGCGUAACACGUGGGCAAUNUACCGAGAAGUGGGGCAUAGNUCGCCGAAAGGCGAAUUAAUACCGCAUGUGACCUUGGACCUCCUAGUNUGAGCGUCAAAGCCGGGGCAACCUGGCGCUUNUUGAUGAGCCCGCGGCCUAUCAGCUAGUUGGUGAGGUAACGGCUCACCAAGGCUAUGACGGGUAGCUGGUNUGAGAGGACGACCAGCCACACUGGAACUGAGACACGGUCCAGACACCUACGGGUGGCAGCAGUCGAGAAUUUUUCACAAUGGGGGAAACCCUGAUGGAGCGACGCCGCGUGGAGGAUGAAGGUNUUCGGAUUGUAAACUCCUGUCAUUGGUGAACAAGAUGGGCGGGGUAACUCCUUGCCUAUUUGCUUAGU